UUAAUUUGGCUUGGAAUUCGAGACAUGAUAACUGAUGUUAGGAAGAAAAAGUUGAAUCUGUGACCUGUCACGUAUUUUAGUGGUUCUCAAGGCUCUGAGACUGUUAUUCCACAUGGAUACAUAUGGAGUCCUCAUCUUGUUCCUAAACCAAAAGAUUGGGGACCUAAAAUUUAUGUGGUUCGAUUUUGUUUCCUUGAUCUCGCAUCAAACUACAAACCCCCUGAAGAACUUGUAUGAUGGCUUGAAGCUGGCCCAAAGGCUAUCUACAUUAGAUUUGGUAGCCUUCCAGUUCAAGAGCCUGAGAAAAUAACACAGACAAUCAUUAAAGCCCUAGAAAUAUCAGGACAAAGGGGCAUCAUCAACAAAGGAUGGGGUGGUCUUGGUAUCUGAAACUUUUCGGAGAAGGUCUGGGAUCAAGCACCAUUGGUUAACUACAAAAGCUUGAACAACAGCUAGAGAGGAGUGUAUCCAUCAUUUGUGCUUGAAAGAUGCAAGUAUAUAAUGAACAAAUUCAAGAACUACAAGCAAAGGAACAAUACAUAAAUACAAUUAUAUAAUGAACAAAUUCUAUUUUUUGUUCAUAUUUGUUCUCUAGUACAUUCUACCUUGUAGAAGACUGUUUAAUAAUCAUUUCUUCUAAUUUCAAACCAAAAAAAUGACACAAGUUAUUUAUUUUCGGAUUCUUCCAACUUCUUAUGAAACAGCUUCCUUAGAAGGCAAUGAUGGAAUCGCUC